ensembl:Y_RNA Y_RNA Y RNA
GGCUGGUCCCAGUGCAGUAGUGUUGACAACUAAUUGAUCAUAGCCCGUUACAGAUUUCUUUGUUCCUUCUCCAAUCUCCCUGCUUCACUUGACUGGCCUGAA